UUUAAUUUUAAUUUUAAUUUUAAAAUUUCAAAUUUCUUAUUUUAAUUUUUCAUAGUGUUAAGUGAAAGUUAUAAAGGAUUUUGCAGCUUAAAAACAUCAGACUUUGUUUUUGAACAAUUCUGGGCAUAAAAACCAUUCGCACGAUUAUCGCACGAUUUUAAUUUUUCGCUGUGUUUCAUACUUAUUUGCUUUUUAGAUACAUUUUUAGGUGCUCUAAGGAUUUUGAGGAAUUACAUAUGAGUGAUCUUCAUAUUUGGAUAUUAUUUAUGAAGUUGUUAUUGGUGCUUAAUGUGAAUAAUUAUGUGCUAAACUGUUUUAGCAGUUCACAGGGGGAGCACUCGAAGCCUAAUGCUUUUGAAAUUUUAUGUUUUCCUGUGAAAAUGAUUUUCACUGGAGUCAAGCUUUAAAAUAUGAAAGCAUUGUUUUAGCAGGUUUUUAAAUGGAAAUUAAUUUGAAUAUCUCGAAUCCAAUGUUUUAAACUCACUCAAACAAAGAAACUUGGUAAAACUUGCGUUGGUUUUAAUAAUUUUCGUAGUGUUAAGUGAAAGUUAUAAAGGAUUUUGCAGCUUAAAAACAUCAGACUUUGUUUCUGAACAAUUCUGGGCAUAAAAACCAUUCGCACGAUUAUCGCACGAUUUUAAUUUUUCGCUGUGUUUCAUACUUAUUUGCUUUUUAGAUACAUUUUUACGUGCUCUAAGGAUUUUGAGGAAUUACAUAUGAGUGAUCUUCAUAUUUGGAUAUUAUUUAUGAAGUUGUUAUCGGUGCUUAAUGUGAAUAAUUAUGUGCUAAACUGUUUUAGCAGUUCACAGGGGGAGCACUCGAAGCCUAAUGCUUUUGAAAUUUUAUGUUUUCCUGUGAAAAUGAUUUUCACUGGAGUCAAGCUUUAAAAUAUGAAAGCAUUGUUUUAGCAGGUUUUUAAAUGGAAAUUAAUUUGAAUAUCUCGAAUCCAAUGUUUUAAACUCACUCAAACAAAGAAACUUGGUAAAACUUGCGUUGGUUUUAAUAAUUUUCGUAGUGUUAAGUGAAAGUUAUAAAGGAUUUUGCAGCUUAAAAACAUCAGACUUUGUUUCUGAACAAUUCUGGGCAUAAAAAUCAUUCGCACGAUUAUCGCACGAUUUUAAUUUUUCGCUGCGUUUCAUACUUAAAACAUUUUUAGGUGCUCUAAGGAUUUUGAGGAAUUACAUAUGAGUGAUCUUCAUAUUUGGAUAUU
rnacentral:lncRNA from 1 species